rfam:Gorilla gorilla gorilla genomic chromosome, chr3, whole genome shotgun sequence
GCCGGGCGCAGUGGCUCACACCUGUAAUCCCAGCACUUUGGGAGGCCGAGGCGGGUGGAUCAUGAGGUCAGGAGAUCGAGACCAUCCUGGCUAACACGGUGAAACCCUCUUCUCUACUAAAAAAUAGAAAAAAUUAGCUGGGCAUGGUGGCCGGCCCCUGUAGUCCCAGCUACUUUGGAGGCUGAGGCAGGAGAAUGGCGUGNNNNNNNNNNCACGCCAUUCUCCUGCCUCAGCCUCCAAAGUAGCUGGGACUACAGGGGCCGGCCACCAUGCCCAGCUAAUUUUUUCUAUUUUUUAGUAGAGAAGAGGGUUUCACCGUGUUAGCCAGGAUGGUCUCGAUCUCCUGACCUCAUGAUCCACCCGCCUCGGC